rnacentral:lncRNA from 1 species
UGAGGCAUCUGAUCAAAAUCUGCUUUGAGCUUAAAAAAUUAUAUUUGUAAAUAUAUUUUUCUCUCAUGCAAGGGAGAAGAGCAGCUGAAUACUCCGGCAGCUGUUCAAGGGGCCCCACUGCUAUAAAUAAAAGUAUUUCAAGGUUGUAAAAGGAAAUUAGAGCCAGAGAGCAAAAGGUCACACUGACCAGAAUACAAUCAAGCUGCAAAAACACAAUUAAGAGCUGGUAAAUAGUGAAAUUUAUUGUUUAACAGAAGACUCGAGCCAUAAGGUUAAAGGUUAAAUGGAAGAAACAGCUGCUGGUUAGGGAAAAAGGUUUCUUUAUAGAACUUAGGAACUUAGCUUUUACUAAAUUCCUUUAAUUUGAAAAGGCCUUUCCUUCUAAAAAUCUAUCUAUGUUAUGUAUGAAAUAUAUUGGCUUAAAUGUGAUUAUGCAAAGGAUUUAGAAAGUAAGAAAUGUUAGAUUCUUAUGUUAGAUUCCUAUUAUGGUGGGUGAGAAGGUGAACUCAAGAUCUCUUUAAGAUAAAAAAAUUAGAAACCAUGCACCAUCUGCUUUAGCCAUCUGGUUUGCGGUGAAUAGGGCAACAGGGGCCAAAGGUUAUCUGGUAAUUGAGGUGCCUGGUCGAGGUAAAUGUAAGAUAUAUGGCUACUUGUCUGCCAUUUAUGGAUACAAGGAAAUAUAGCUUUUGUCUCCCAUAAAAGGGAAUAGGAAAUGGGUGUAUCUUUUAUGAUUGGUUCUAGCAAACAACCAAUAGGAAUUUCAACCAGGCUGAUUGGACAGAGGCAGCCAAAGGAGGAGCAAGGGGGCUGGGCUGAGGAAAUAUAAGUGCUGGCCAUCAGGGCUGGAGUAGGCAGAGCUUUGGUAUCCAUAUACCACUGUGUCUCUCAUUUAUUUGUCUGACAAAUAAAUUAUUAUUUUAAUUUCUC